UUAAUCCCGGGGUUUUUGUUUUUUUACUAUAAAUCUACGCAAUGAAGAGGCGAUUUUCACUCAGUUGCCAAAUAAUAUUCAAAAUGAUAAGACUGUUCAGUAAGAUUACAUUUGCUCUGAUCAUGUUCUGUGUCUGCAGAGCACAGUGCGAAAUCACUAUAUUACCGGACGUACUCUACUACAAUAUAUCAACAACCCCGCGUGCUGAUCUCUUUCUCCUGCACCAUCAGCGGCAAUUCGGUCUCCGUGUGAAGGAAUUGGAAGAGAGCUUGGCCAACUUCAAGACCAACUUUUAUGCGCGGCUCGAUGUUAUCGCUUUCAAUAUAGAACUGUUGGAGACGAAGUUGGAAGAGGUAGAUAAUAAACUGAAUCCGUUAGUGCUGCUCGAUGACAUCAAUGAUUAUUGUGUACAUAAAUAUCGCGCGAAAUUGCCACAAAUUGCACAGCUGACAACCAAACUGAAAGAAUGUACUCUGAAAGGCAAUAAUGCGUAUUCCGGUCUUGUGUCGGCCGUUGAGACGACUGUGAGAAAUCUGAAAAACUACUACACGAGCACAUUAACGUCAGCAGUGAAUGAUUGCAGGAAGAAGCAUGUCGGCCAUUUUACGGAAACAAAUUACACCCAGUGCAUUUCGACAGCGGUGACCAAUGCCGCUGCAAAGACUUACGCCGAUACGAAUACCUUUCGGAAUCAAAUGAAGACGGCCGAGUGCAAUGCAGCGAUGAAAGUUCGUGAAGUCUUCGAUUGUUAUAAUGUGCAAGUGUUUUCAACUUUCAAAGCGAUUGGUUAGGUUAUGGCUUCGGUGGAGAACUGUAUUGGAGGUCAGGAGUUUUGUCCAACUUGUGGCGAUGAUACCGCGGUCACUAAGGGUCGUUGUCCAUACCACAUGAGCUGGCAUUUGGCGGAUAGUGAUUUGACGAGUGAGAAGAUAAAUAACCCUUUCAAAGGCAUCACGAAAACAACACCCUGUUUACAGUUAAAUUUUAUUACAAAUGGUGUUGCGCUAAAUUGAGUGUUAUUUUCAUUCUUUGCUUAGUAGGUAUGCUUUUGAGAUUAUUAUAUUGUUGCGAAAAUGCGAGGCGAAUGUCAGAUGAAA